UGUCCAGUAGCACCUUAGAGACCAACUAAGUUUGUUCUUGGUAUGAGCUUUCAUAUCUGAAGAAGUGUGCAUGUACACAAAAGCUCAUACCAAGAACAAACUUAGUUGGUCUCUAAGGUGCUACUGGACA